rnacentral:rRNA from 1 species
CAAUAGCGUAUAUUAAAGUUGUUGCGGUUAAAAAGCUCGUAGUUGGAUUUCUGCCGAGGACGACCGGUCCGCCCUCCGGGUGAGUAUCUGGCUCGGCCUGGGCAUCUUCUUGGAGAACGUAGCUGCACUUGGCUGUGUGGUGCGGUAUUCAGGACUUUUACUUUGAGGAAAUUAGAGUGUUUCAAGCAGGCACACGCCUUGAAUACAUUAGCAUGGAAUAAUAAGAUAGGACCUCGGUUCUAUUUUGUUGGUUUCUAGAUCUGAGGUAAUGAUUAAUAGGGAUAGUUGGGGGCAUUCGUAUUUAACUGUCAGAGGUGAAAUUCUUGGAUUCGUUAAAGACGGACUACUGCGAAAGCAUUUGCCAAGGAUGUUUUCAUUGA